rnacentral:ribozyme from 1 species
AGUGGAAAGAGAAAAGGAAAAAAGAGGAACAUGCCCUCUUUCUUGGACAUUUUUUUUUUGGACAUUCUUUUGGACACACGCGCCUCCCUUUUUUGAGUUAUUUCAGUUCUUUCUUUCAUCU